UGUGCGUGUGUGUGUGUGUCUAUGUGUGUGUGUAUAUGUGUGUGUCUAUGUGUCCAUGUGUACAGGAAGAUAUCCAGAGAGAGCGGGAAGCAGGGAUCAUUGUGGACACUAAGAAUGAUGAGAGCACGCGUAGCACUGUGGGACUGACGGGCGGCGGCAUGGGCGGCGGUGGCGGUGGUGUCACCCUGCCACAGCUCACCAGUGACAGUUUGACGGAACUGGCCGCGGCUCACACCAGGAAAAAGGAUAAGCCACCUCCACCUCCACAACGGGCACCGACCAAGUUGCCGACUAUUGAAGGUGGUGCUUCGCAAUUCUUCAAGUAGCACGGUAAAUACAACACGCGUGGCCAAGAAUAACAUCCAGGCUUGGCGGUGCACCAGAGACUGGCGCAGCUGGAUUAAUUGUGUUCCCAAAAGCACCUCCUGUUUAGUUCGCAUGGUACGUUUCCCGGGAGGCUUUCUGGAUGUCAGCCCUGGGUAGUGUUUUCACACUUGUUCACCGAGGAUGACGCAUGGUAACGUAUGCCCCUGCCCCCGGGCUACUACCCCCCUGCCCCGGGCUAC